rnacentral:misc_RNA from 1 species
UGCCGGAUCAUUAACGACAUAUACAUGCCAGAUUGGUUAUGUAAAACUGAGGGCUGGCUCCUGGCCGAGCGCUUUUCGCGGUCAGUCCAGCAUAAAGUCUAUGGUGGCCACGCUUCUUCGGCCGUGGGUGUAGCAGCUUCUGGCUCUUCAUCCCUGAUUCGGGUCCAUAGGCGAAAACGGCUUCGUUGGUUCCUACGUAUCGCUGAGCAGUUGUGCCUCGUCCGUGGCUGCGAUGAGGUGAUGCGGUAGGCCUUAUGGAUAUGUAAGGCUAGGAUUAAUGAACACCAGCCUGGGUGUUGCCAACAAAAACCCCCCAUUUUUUCAAUUUUUUUACGAAAGAAAAAUUCUAGCCUUAUCGGUGGAUCACUCGGCUCGUAGGUCGAUGAAGAACGCAGCCAACUGCGAUAACUAGUGUGAACUGCAGAUAUUUUGAACACUAAGAUUUCGAAUGCACAUUGCGCCAUGGGAAUUUUAUCCCUUGGCACAUCUGGUUCAGGGUCGUUUUUAUCUAAAGCGAAUGCUUUCACAGUGAAACCGCGAACAAUUGUACGAUCACUUUGCGAAUGGCCGCUUCACACCUAGCAUGGUGUUCGUGCAUAGUGGAGAAUUGUCCAUUCCUGUCCUUUGGCUUCGGUGGCAGGCCCGUGGCGUGGCAUUGUAGCCUCUAAGCCGCACACGGUGUCUUGCUCUGGGUCAGUUGGGCGCAAUCGCUAUUUCGACCUGAACUCAGGUGUGAGCACCUGCUGAACUUAAGCAUAUCAGUAAGCAGAGGAAAAGAAACUAACAAGGAUUCCCGUAGUAACGGCGAGUGAACUGGGAUCAGUCCAGCGCUGAAUCGCUGUGUCUUUGGCACUGCGAAAUGUAGCGUAUAGACGGUGCGCGUGGCUUAGGCCGCCGGUUUAAGUUUCCCUUGACUGGGGCUCCAAAGAAGGUGAAAGACCUGUACAACCGGUGGACUUUGUCAUCUGCUCUGUCUUGGAGUCGGGUUGUUUGGGAUCGCAGCCCAAAGAAGGUGGUAAACUUCAUCUAAGACUAAAUAUGACUACGAGACCGAUAGCAAACAAGUACCGUGAGGGAAAGUUGCAAAGCACUUUGAAGAGAGAGUUAAAGAGGACGUGAAACCGGUAAGGUGGAAACGGAUAGAGCUAGCGUAUCUAGCUUGUAUUCAGCCGCUCUGGUCUGAGUGCCCUGUUCGCUGGUCCGGCUUCGGCCAGUUGGCGGGUGUCUCUUGGGCCUUGGCGGUGCAUUUGCAAGUGGAGUGCGCUGAGGCCUGUGGGGUAGUGGUUGGAAGUGCGCUUUGAGGAUACCCUUCGGGGUAAAACCCGGGCGUACCUAAGACUAUUUGCCCUGCUUGUACAUGAGCGAGGCCUACGGGUUUGGCUGAGGCUGAGCUGGUCGCCGGUUACGGUCGCAUGCGACACGUGUUGGUGGCUGGUUUGGUUUUGGUCCGGCUCCCUCGCUCGCCCUCGGUGUAAAAGCUAGUCAUCUAUCCGACCCGUCUUGAAACACGGACCAAGGAGUUUAGCGUAUACGCGAGUCAUUGAGUGGAAAACUCAAAGGCGCAAUGAAAGUAAAGGUAUCCCUUGUGGAGCUGAUAUGCGACCUCGGGUGCUUCGGUGCCCGGGAGCAGCAUAGCCCCGUCCCAAUCGCUUGCGAUGGGGCGGAGGUAGAGCGUAUUCGCUGAGACCCGAAAGAUGGUGAACUAUUCCUGAGCAGGAUGAAGCCAGUGGAAACACUGGUGGAAGUCCGAAGCGAUUCUGACGUGCAAAUCGAUCGUCUGACUUGGGUAUAGGGGCGAAAGACUAAUCGAACCAUCUAGUAGCUGGUUCCCUC